UACGAAGGGGGCUAGCGUUGCUCGGAAUCACUGGGCGUAAAGCGCACGUAGGCGGAUUGCUAAGUCAGGGGUGAAAUCCUGGAGCUCAACUCCAGAACUGCCUUUGAUACUGGCGAUCUCGAGUCCGGGAGAGGUGAGUGGAACUGCGAGUGUAGAGGUGAAAUUCGUAGAUAUUCGCAAGAACACCAGUGGCGAAGGCGGCUCUCUGGGGUAUUGCUGACGCUGAGGCACGAAAGCCAGGGGAGCGAACGGG
rnacentral:rRNA from 1 species